rnacentral:ncRNA from 2 species
AAUAAUGUUCAGUCAAUGGGUGUUAAAAGAUAAUAAAGACUUUUAACUUAAAAGGGAAGUUCGGUGUAAAUCCGACACGGUCGCGCCACUGUUAUGGGGAGCUUCAUAUCGCAAUCCACUGUUUCAAGCAUGAAAUGGGAAGGGAUAUGAAGUGAGGAACCUAAGUCAGGAGACCUGCCUAUUGUGUGCACUUAUU